rnacentral:tRNA from 1 species
GGGCCCGUGGUCUAGCUGGUUAUGACGUCGCUCUCACACAGCGAAGUUCACCGGUUCGAAUCCGGUCGGGCCCA